UUACGUCCAUAUCUGUUUCAAUAACGUACGUCGCCGCGCGUGGCCCGCAGAAAAAGGAUCACGGAAGGUACGUUCAAGCUAUUACUCAUAAAAUGUCUUCAUCAUGGCUGUCGAGCUGCUGCCAAUUGCUGAAAGAUAACAAAAACACUUAGAUAUGGACUUCACGGUUGCCAAGUAGCUCAACGAUUAUCCUGUCCACGGUACAAAAACACAAACUGUGGUUUUUUUUUAAAUCUACAACUUGGGUACUUGGGUGAUUGAAGCAAAGGAACUGGCCGCUGUGAAUAUGGAAUUGGUCACGAUCUCAUCGAUAUCCUUCUCAGUAAGCACCAGGUGACUACGCACGAUUGCAAGAAAUGGGGAGCUUGCAUCAUUCAUCAAGAGACAGACCGGCGAUGGCAGCCGAAAAAUUCUUCCCGGCAACAAUGGGAUGCAUCAAAUUAGUUAACCGGUUCAGAAAACAUGAUCGGAGAUAAGCCAAUGUUGUAAAAGUCAUCUUGAAUAGGCUAACUGGAGUCGAAUGUGUGGCAGCCAUCAAUCGAAUUCAUUUGACGGUUUAUAGAACAAUCCGCAUAGCUCUCAUAUUCACGAUUCAACUCCGGCGCGUUCUGAUUCAACCAUCUCCUGCUUUUGAUUCGGUAAAUUGAGUCCAGGAUUCUGAAUCUUGAAAGCGGAUACAAUGAUGGGUUGAGUCUGACUCAACCGUAUCCGACCCGCUUGCAGGACCCGAUCGAGAGUCCUUCGAUGCCGAAAGCCCUAACGCCUAAGAGUACGAGAGGCGGGUGGCCGUAUCUUCCCUCCUUCUCCGCGGCAGCGGUAGCUGUCGUCGUCUAUCUCCGAUGACCGUUUGUGCUCAUAAAUCAGUUGAUUUCGGUACCAUCAUUUUGUCAGCUCAGACCUGAUCAACAUGUACACGCAAGGAAGAAAAUCCAAAAGGGCAAGGACACAGACAUUACUGGUUUUGAGAAACAGUUGCCAGCUUAAAAACUGAGGAAGCAUGUUGACUUUCUCCAAGGUUUUGCUGUUUUAGGCUGUCAUUCUAAUGCAAGCAUAAGGAUUCUGAGGCUACCUACGCAAAGGUCAGCAGUUGUUCCAGCCUUGCAGCCAAACUCUGACAUCAAUACGUGAGCCUAUCUUGGAGGAUGUAGUAUAUCCUACAGAGAUUGGAGGAAGGAGAAUAGGAUUGACUUGAUGGUUUAAAAAUAAUGAAGAUAUGUGGAGGUCAGGUGGACGAAGCUUCUCAGAUGCUAUAGUAGGACCAUCCAUCACAAAGGAUAGGAUAUGUGGUUUUGUUUGAUGGAACGUGGGCAUAAUAUUGUCAUUUGAUUUUUUCAUUGUAAACUGAAUUGCAGCUGAUACAAAACUGUGACAUGGAAUUUCGGCUGCCCGAUAUUAGAAGAGGAAUCUUCCAAGGUGAAGACAAAGGCGGCGAAUGGUGGACGCAGACAUGGCAGUGAUGAUAGUAUUAUGGUGGAAAUUAGGAAAAUAUUGCAAGAAGAUACUUUUCUACAUGUUCAUAUGAAGGGAAAAUGCAAGGGGCAUUCCCUAUGAAUUUUGCUACCUGCAUGAUCUAGAAAAGUUUAUACUUGUGUCAGUGUAUGAAUGUUUAUUAAUUUAGAGAGACUUUCGAAUUUUUAAAUCAAAUUUAGAAAAAGGCUUUGGAGUUUUUAAAUCUGUCAACAUGUAUCGAGGUUCCUGUACAUGCUUUCUCUGUACCUUAGGUUGCCCUUUCUGUUCAUUUAUGAUUAAGAAUGAUGUAGCAGAUCAAUGAGAAUGUAUGUUCAUGAGGAUUACUUUUUUCUA